rnacentral:hammerhead_ribozyme from 1 species
AUCCAGAUGACAAGUCCCAAAUAGGACGAAACGUGAGUCAAACUGGAU